AGAACGAACGCUGGCGGCGUGGAUAAGACAUGCAAGUCGAACGGGAUAUCACGAGUAGCAAUAUGAGUGAUGUUCAGUGGCGAACGGGUGCGUAACACGUGGAUACAUUCCGGGAAGCGGGGGGAUAGCCCAGGGAAACUUGGAUUAAUACCGCAUGUGGUCGAAAGACUAAAGACGGGGACCGCAAGGCCUGUCACUUCCCGAUUGGUCCGCGGCCUAUCAGCUAGUUGGCGGGGUAAAGCCCACCAAGGCUACGACGGUAGCUGGUCUUAGAGGACGACCAGCCACACUGGAACUGAGACACGGUCCAGACACCUACGGGUGGCAGCAGUCGAGAAUCUUCACAAUGGGGGCAACCCUAGACUAGGAGCGGAACGCCGCGUGGAGGAGUAAGGUCUUCGGGAUUGGUAAACUCCUUGUCAUUGCGUGAACAGGCUGACG
rnacentral:rRNA from 1 species